CAGUCGCCACGGUAAUACGUAGGGUGCGAGCGUUAAUCGGAAUUACUGGGCGUAAAGCGUGCGCAGGCGGUUUUGUAAGACAGGCGUGAAAUCCCCGGGCUCAACCUGGGAACGGCGCUUGUGACUGCAAAGCUAGAGUGCGGCAGAGGGGGAUGGAAUUCCGCGUGUGGCAGUGAAAUGCGUAGAUAUGCGGAGGAACACCGAUGGCGAAGGCAAUCCCCUGGGCCUGCACUGACGCUCAUGCACGAAAGCGUGGGGAGCAAACAGGAUUAGAUACCCGAGUAGUCCCUGUCUCUUAUAA
rnacentral:rRNA from 1 species